UACGUAGGCAGCAAGCGUUGUUCGGAGUUACUGGGCGUAAAGGGUGCGUAGGCGGCUUCUUAAGUCUGGUGUGAAAUCUCCCGGCUCAACUGGGAGGGUGCGCCGGAUACUGAGGGGCUAGAGUGUGGGAGAGGAAAGUGGAAUUCCUGGUGUAGCGGUGAAAUGCGUAGAUAUCAGGAGGAACACCGAUGGCGAAGGCAGGUCUCUGGGCCAUAACUGACGCUGAGAAGCGAAAGCAUGGGGAGCGAACAGG
rnacentral:rRNA from 1 species